UCCCCGCACCUUGCCUAGUUCACAAGACAGGAGUAAAGAGAAAAAGAAACAAAAGUAAGACAAAUAGCCAGACAACCUUGGCACCACUACCCGGCCCUAGGAGUUAAACAAAGUAAUAAUAAUAACAUCAACCCCUGGCCUAAACUACUUGUGUUAUCUGUAAAUUCCAGGCACUGUAUGAAAAAAGCAUUGUAAAACUUUUUGUUCUGUUAGCUGAUGCAUGUAGCCCCCAGUCACGUUUCCCACACUUGCUCGAUUUAUCAUGACCCUUUCACGUGGACCCCUUAAAGUUGUAAGCCUUUAAAAAGGCCAGGUAUUUCUUUCUCAGAGAGCUUGGCUCUUAAGACACGAGUUUGCCGACGCUCCCGGCCGAAUAAAAAAUCUCUUCCUUCUUUAA